CUGAGAGAUAAUGUCGCAGCUGGACCCCUCGGUUGAAGGGGACUCGGCAGAGGCUACCAACCAGCAAACAAUCUUACCAAAGACGAUACCUUGUAACUGGAGAUUCCUUCAAAACGAUUGCCUACAGUUACCAUGUAGGACACUGCAAGGUUGGGUGACCAGGGCCAUCUGGGACUGCCCCUGGAGGAAUUCAGGCAUGUGAAGGCAUAUGCACAACCAAAUGCUCUUUUAAGAGCCAUCCACAUGGCAAUACGAGUAUUCUUCUAUUUACUUAGCUACGUCAACUGCAGUUAUUCAAUUCCCAGUUUCUCUCCUUUUGAUUUCUACUUCUCAGGUGAGGGUGCUGUUCAGGUAAGGGUGAUGUCUGUACAAAAACAAAACAGGCUCUUUUAAGAGUCACCCAUAUUGAAAACAAAUAGGACAAUUAGACACCCUAUAACCCACACACUCGUGUAUCAAUCUGAUUGAUGGAUUGUGUUGUGCAGUAAGCAGGCUCAGGUGUAUAACUGUGGCUCCUUCCACCUUCAAAGAAUAGGCAAGAGGACCAACCAUGGAGAAUAUAUAAAGUACUCUGCAGCCACUUGGUGUGGACACCAGGUUAUAUCAGCUGUGUCGGUGAACCCCUCGCGCAUCUGAGCUGGCUGACACAGAGGGCACAGCAUGAUCAGAGGUAUGUUUUGAUGUGAGAGAGAGUGCCAACCCCUGUCACGG